AAACGCUUGAAACCAGUCAUGCGGCUGGGAAAUCAGUCUCUGACGAGGGGGAAUGGGAGAGGUGUGGACCGCAAGGCUGCUCUUUUUCAUAUCUUUUUCGGCAGGGAUGCACUUUUUCUUCCGCAGGUCAACAUCAGUUUGCUUUGCCGGACAAAACUCUUGGGAAGGUGACAGCUUAGGCUGUGUUAUAGCCCUGGAGCGAUACGGUGGAGCGGACUGAGGUUUUCGCAGCAUGUGCUCUCGGGCAAGGCUGAUUGGGUGCUAUGAGAUCGUUCAGGGUACAAUACAUGUAUUUUGCCUUGUGUCUUUUUUAUACUCGCUCAACUCGGCUCUUCCAUGCUUAGGAUGUUGACAUAAUGGUUUUAAUCGA
rnacentral:rRNA from 2 species